UAAUUACUAUUGUUUUUUUUUUCUUUUUACAUUUCUUCAUUUUUUUUCUUCUUUUCUCUCUAUAUAUAUUUUUUUUCCUUAGCAAAGUCAUGUAGAGGGAGAGAGAUUUGAGUGAAUUCUCACCAUUUUUUUCAUCUUUCAAUUCUAAAAAAAGUUAAAGAGGGUGGUGAAUCUUCUAAAGCUAAGGGUAAAGGCAAAGUGAUGGAGAGCUAGGCAAGAAACUUUGUAGGUGUUCUUCCAUCAAGAUUUAUAGACUUUUGUUCGUGUUCGAGGAACGAGGAACAUCAUCGACGAGAGACUCCUAACAUCACAUAUUCAGAGUACAAUACCUUAUCUAUUAGUGGGUAUUGUAUUCCUAAGGCCUUGUAUUUUUUUGUAGAUCUAUAACUCAUUUAUUAUUUUUGUUAUUUUCACUAUUUUGAUAUACGAUGAUAUUGGAGCUUCACAUAUUUUGUAUAACUACUUUUAUUACUAUUUUUAGUAUAACUAUGUAUGUUAUUUUCUCUAAUAUAAAA